CGCUACCGAGAAGAGAGCAGAGGCUUCAGCUCCCUGGAACUCUCCACUACUAAGGGAGGUCAUGGAUGGACUGCGAUUACCUCCACUCAUAGAGGAUGCGCUGGAAUUUACAGAUGAGCCCUGUGGAGAUCUGAAAGCGGAGAGCAGCCCCAGCUUGAGCCCCAGCAUGGACAAUGAGAUCACAGCCAAGGAGAGAGGAGUACUGGAGAACAACGAAAAGGAGACAAUGGACAGAGAUCAGG